rnacentral:misc_RNA from 1 species
UCUCCGUUGGUGAACCAGCGGAGGGAUCAUUAAAGAGUGUAAAAACUCCCAAAACCCUUUGUGAACAUACCACUGUUGCCUCGGCGGAGCUGUCGGGGGGGAGCUGCUACCCUGUAGCGCGCCCCCCCGCGGCCGCCGGCGGACCACUACAACUCGUUUAUAUCUAUAAAUCUGAGCGUACUUUUAAAUAAGUCAAAACUUUCAACAACGGAUCUCUUGGUUCUGGCAUCGAUGAAGAACGCAGC